UGAAGUGUGUGAAACUGCAGCGG
rnacentral:miRNA from 1 species